UUUUAAAGUUCACUGUCUGUGGCCACGCUGAUGGUGCCCAUGCAGAGUGCUGACCGCAAGGAGCUCUAUUCCGUGCUGAGCUGGACACUUGGAGCUCACAUGACGUUUCACGGGGCCUACUCGUGGGGUAGUGUGUGCAGCUCUCCCGGCGCCCAGGAAAAGUGGAGUACAGGGACGCCUGAGGGAUGAUCUGCCAUCGGCCAGGGCCCUGCCUGCCUUAGCCCCCGCUGACAGCUCAGCAUAGUCGUAGCUUCCACCUGCAGCUGUCUUCCGGAGCAUUUUCUUAAGUGAAAAUAAAGAUUCAGCCAUGAAA